GACUAAGCGUACACGGUGGAUGCCCUGGCAGUCAGAGGCGAUGAAGGACGUGCUAAUCUGCGAAAAGCGUCGGUAAGGUGAUAUGAACCGUUAUAGCCGGCGAUGUCCGAAUGGGGAAACCCAGUGUGAUUCGUCACACUAUCGUUAACUGAAUACAUAGGUUAACGAGGCGAACCGGGGGAACUGAAACAUCUAAGUACCCCGAGGAAAAGAAAUCAACCGA
rnacentral:rRNA from 1 species